rnacentral:lncRNA from 1 species
CUCCUAUAUAAUAGAUUGAUCAUGCACCAUAUCCACAGGAGGUUGGAAAAACCAUGCCAUUUUCUGGAAUUUAAGGGUGUUGCAUUAUUUCAUCAAUCAUUUGUUGACAAAAAAGAAAAACUAAAAAAUAAAUUUAAAAUGUGAACCUUCAGGUAUUGAGUAACACCUUUAUCUUGGUAUAGAACUGAUACUUUUUUUUUAUUUUGAAAUAUCUGAUAAUAAUUUGGAAUGAAGUAAGGUUCUGUUAAAGAAAAUAUAUUUGAAGACCCUUUAAAGCAGUGAAUCUGAAACAAUUUUCACACCCUUAAGUGGUUGAUACGUACCUAUUUUUAGGUAUUUUGAGGUAUUUACCAUAAACUAAAUUUAGAAAUUUUUUAGAUUCACUUGAAGUAAACAUUACAAACAUUGGAUACGGUGGGGUUUUCUUUAGAUUUUACUUGAGAGAAGGUGAGUACAAAGCAAUUUGCAGUUGUUGUAAUGACAAGAUUACUGCGCAAGUGUGAAUCCAAACAGUAUAGCUUUUAAAUUUUAAAGCAUUUGGUAAAUUAUCGCUGAGUUUUUUUCUGUUGCCAAUAGCAAACUGCUUUUCCAUUAAUGGAGAAUUCACGCCUUUCAAGCAUUUUAAAUAUGACAAUAUUUAUAAAUGUAUGGUUUGGAGGAAUCGUUUAAAUUCUCUUUCCUAAUUUUCUUUCUUUUGAAGAUAGAUUCUUUCAACAAGUAAUUUGUAGUAAUGACUGUGUUGACUUCAAUUUUGGAGCGCAGUAGCUAUGUUAAAGAUGAACUAUUUGGUCUCAUUGAAGCCAACACAGAACUUGCUGCUGUGUUUUUUCUUCAGUGAUAAAUAAAAUACUUACAGAAAAAAAAAAAAAAAA